rnacentral:ncRNA from 1 species
CAAAGGCAUGGUCCCGACCUUUUAGUCAGCUUUAACUCAACUUACACAUGCAAGUCUCCGCAGCCCUGUGAGCAUGCCCUUAGUCCUCUUUUUAUGAGGAGAAGGAGCAGGUAUCAGGCACAAAUCUUAGCCCAAAACACCUAGCCUAGCCACACCCCCAAGGGAAUUCAGCAGUGAUAAACAUUGAGCAAUAAGCGAAAGCUUGACUCAAUCAGAGUUAGACAGGGCCGGUAAAACUCGUGCCAGCAACCGCGGUUAGACGAGGGGCCCCAGUUGAUUAACCAACGGCGUAAAGGGUGGUUAAGGGUAAUAAACAAUAAAGCCGAAGGAUCCCUUGGCCGUUAUACGCUCCUGGAAAUCCGAAGUCCACUCACGAAAGUAGCUUUAGCAAAUCACCUGAAUCCACGAAAGCUAAGAAACAAACUGGGAUUAGAUACCCCACUAUGCUUAGCCGUAAACUAAGAUGUCAAACUACAACGGCAUCCGCCCGGAUACUACGAGCACUAGCUUAAAACCCAAAGGACCUGACGGUGUCUUAGAUCCCCCUAGAGGAGCCUGUUCUAGAACCGAUUACCCUCGUUAAACCUCACCACUUCUAGCCUUAUCAGUCUAUAUACCGCCGUCGCCAGCUUACCCUGUGAAGGAACAAAAGUAAGCGAGAUGGGCACAGCCCAGUACGUCAGGUCGAGGUGUAGCAUAUGAAGUGGGAAGAAAUGGGCUACAUUCUCUACCACAGAGCAUUACGAACACGCAAUAUGAAAUAUAUGCCAGAAGGAGGAUUUAGAAGUAAAAAGGAAGCAGAGUGUCCUUUUGAACCCGGCUCUAAGAUGCGUACACACCGCCCGUCACUCCCCCCGGUCUAAUUGCGCCUAACUAUACCUAAUACCACAGCACUGACGAGGGGGGAAAAGUCGUAACAAGGUAAGUGUACCGGAAGGUGCACUUGGACCAAACC